UCUACCCUGGCUUAAUUUAAAAACAUUUCCCUUUGUCCUAUCACUAUCAAGCCAUGUCAACAGUCAUUCCCCCUCCUGUUUAUAAGAUCCCUUCAAAUGCUGUAAUGCCACAACGAGGUCUCCCCAGAGCCUUCUCCUCUCCAAGCUAAACAAGCCCAGUUCCUUCAACCUUUCUUCACAUAAGAGGUGCUUCAGCUCUCUGAUCAUCUUGGUGGCCUUCCUCUGAACCCACUCCAAGAGCUCUUGACACACUUCUGGAACCUCCUGCAUUGUUUAUGCCCUGCUGUCUUAUCCCUUUAAUAGUUGUGAGGGAAGUUGAAUUUCCCCAUGAAGAUCAAGGCCAGAGGAUGUUAGAAUGCUCCUGUCUGUUAAUAGAGGGCCUCAGAUUCUUUUUCUUCACGAUCAGGUGGCCCAUAGCAGACACCCACUAAAGUGUCACUCUUACAUGUCUUCUCUUUAACCCCUACAUCUGACCUCUCAACAGAUUCUUCAUACAUUCCCACACUGGGCUGCAUGUACCUCUGUUGUUCUUGUUUAAAUGCAAUUGCAUCUUCUCAUCUUCCUGUCCUGCAUAACAUAUGUUUACGAGUGUUAAAAGAAAACAUUAAAAUUACCAUGUUGUCCAAAAAACAAAGCUCCACAUACCUUCAUGCUAAUUAGAUGAAAUUCAUGCUUACUUUAUAGUGAUGUUGCUGAAACAAAAUUUUUCACCUAGAAAUCUUUAACAUUUUUAUUAUUUUUUUCUUCACUUAUUUAUCUUUGAUUCUUAAACUGCUUUUGCAUUCCUUUCCAUGCAAAGGUGUUUAAGUUUAGACAGAGUGCAGAAGAGAGGAACUGAUUCUAAUGCCAGCUCAGCUUGAAAAGGUAAGAUGAUAAAAACUCUGAAAUUUUAAAAAUGCUUUUCUGCUACUUUAAAAAUCCCUCAGUCUUUACCUUUACAAAAGGAAAAUAAAAAUACAGUCUUUACAAUUAGAUCUCUGAAAACUAAUGGUCAUGUGUCAAAAAGAAACAAGCAGACCUAUAAUGCAAUUGUAUAAAACAGAGAGUAAUCAUAUUCAUACCAAUUUAUUCCUUAAUAAGUGUCAACUGACUUCAUGGUAGAUUAAUCUGAGUUCACUGCUAUAAAGUGAUAUAAAUAAGAACAUAGUUUAAUUAAUUCCUAAGUGAUCAAUUCAAAAUUAAAAAGAAAGGCAUUUCUGGUGGUGAUUUGAAGCAUUUUUCCUCUUCAUAACUGGGCAGUUUUCUUGAGCUUUGUCCUCAGACUCUCAGCAUCAGACUGUCUUGAAAUCUUUGCUAUUCUGGAUACUGUGAAGCACAGCUGUCCAUGGGAAAUGGAAAUCUUCUCCACAGUUAUUAGGAGCUGUGCUCCUGGAAGGGGUGGAGCUUGACUCCACCUCCUCUAGACCUCAUUUAGAGUCUGACCGCCACUAAGGCAGAAUUUCUAGGAGAUUGCUCUUUGGUGGAGAUUGUCUCAGCAGUUCCCAGUAGACUGAAGGCUUCCAUAUGGGUGAGUUUUUCAUGUAAAUAACCUUUUGGGUAUUUACAACUACCAUCUUUUCAUUAUUGUCUUCAUAUGUUUAGUAGUUACUAAAAGCUUGACAGACAGUAAGGGAGACUUCAUUUAAAGCACCUUGUAUAAUCCAUUUAGUUCUGUUUUGUGAGCUUUUUGCUGAGGGAGGGUUGGUUAGGGAGGGUAUAGGGCUGCUCAAGGAGCUGAGAGAAAGAAUGGUAAUCCCUGAGUAUUCCUAGAUAGCUUGAUUUCAAAUAAAAUUCCAGUCAUCUAAAAAACAUUAGUGUGAUAUAUGUGUGUUAUUGAUACUUCUGUUUGCUUCAUAUUCUGGGAGGUCAUUUCUUUUCUUAUUUUCUUUAGAAGCUUGUGUAAAAGAGGACAGAAAUCAGCUAAAAGAUCACCACUCCUAAUGGAAACUUAUGUUUUAGAGUAUCAGACAAGUGCUUAAGACAAUGCAGGUUACUUUAUUUUUUCCUUUUAUUCCCUGUAAUAACCUGGAAAUUCUAUCCUAGAAACAUAAAAUGUGCAUGCAUGAGUGCAUGUAGAGACACAUUUAUUGGUGUCAUAGCAGAAAAGGAUUAAAAUGCAGGUAGCCUAAACAGAAUAAUUUCAUUUUCCUUAGAUUUAUCUAUUAGGAAGUUGAAACCUUGAAAAAUAUUAAAAUUCAUUACAUAAAACUUCUUAUUUAUGACAUCAUUUUGUCAUGUUAUUGGAUAGCACUUGUUUGAUAUCUCAAAUGACUCAUGAGUCUUUGCAAUAGCAGUUAUCCAUACUGAUACAGUUUAUCAUAAUAUCAACUAUUCCAUGAAGAAAAGAAAUAUACACAAACAUAAAAUCAACUUGAACAUAAUUUGAGUAAAGGCAUUUUAAGAGUUGGAUUUACAGUCAAUCUAAACUUGCCUAGGCUUAAGUGAUGGUGCUGUGGUCUACAAUGGUGUGAAAAAGAACUCUGUACAGUAUGUUUACUUUUAGGUAAAAUCAACUGUUUCUUUGACUGGCUUUCUUUAACCACUGUGAGAAACUAACUCAAACAAUCACCAAUUGGCUUAUAUAGGAGAUGUAUAAAAUCAUAAGUAGAAACUCUAACUUAGAAACAAUACUCUGAAUUAGUCUGCUUAGAGGAAAGUGUUGUUUCCAAUACUUUUUUUUUUUUUCCUUUUAAAGAGCGUUAGCUAAGAUUAGAAUAAUUCCCUGACAAAUAUUUCUCCCAGUACUGCUUACUGCAGUUUUAAUGCUUUCUCAUUUAUUUUUUCAUCUAUUUCCCAGAUUUCCGACUUUUGAAUGCUUACCUUCUCCUCUGGCUGAAAGAGACUGUUUUGGGUAAGCUCCAAUACCAUACUAAACAGGCAAAAUGAGACACAUGAAAUUCAUAGACCUUGGCAGCAUAGAUAGCCAAGCAGUAGAAGAAGAAUUCCAGCUGAGCUAACAAGAAAAACUACUGAGAAUCUUUGGCUAGCCAGCAACAGAUUAGUGUGAUACAUUUCUAACACACUACAAAGAUCUGAUGUUCUCAAAAUCAAUGGAGCUAAAGAUUCUAUAGACCUGGCUUUUGGGGCAUAAUGACAUUUUUUAUUUUAUUUUUUCUCCUGAGAGAGUAAUUUCAAAACCAUGUUAGAACACACAUCUGAUACAAAGACCUUCAAUUUUCUGCAUCCUAUUUUGUUAUGCUCAGAUUCCCGUGUUGUUGUAUAUAUAUUCAGUUCUGGAAAGCUAUUUGAAGUUCCAGGAAAUUCUGGCCAGAAUAUUAGCAAAAUUGGUUGAAUAAAUCCACAGAUAACCAGCAUAUGAUAGAUAGAUGGAAAUUAAUAAUAGGAAAAGGAGUAGAGAUUUUUUUGCUGCUGAAACAGAUUUGAGUGUAAUGUGAGACCAUCAUUUUAAUCAUUUUUGACAAAUACAACCUGGAACAUUUAUCAAAUCAUCAUAUUUCCUGUAUUGAAAACUGAAAUAAGUAUUGAAUAUUUUUAUGGUCAUUGAUAUGUAUCAAAAUUAUUUUAAAAUGUCUCAAUACUUAGUUUAAUUUUUCUUAGUGCCAAAUAAUAAUUCCUAUGAAUACGUCAGAUGCCAUUUCUUGUGAGAGAAAUGGGUUAAUCUAAAAAGCUGGAGGAUAUCUUUUCUAGAAAUUCCUGUCAGAGAUAUCAUAGACAACUUGUGGCUUUUGAGCUAGUUGCUGGGAUCUACUUUCUUAGAAAUUUUUUUAAAAAGUGAAAAUUUUAAUGCCACUCUUUAAAUGGUGUGGGUUAAAUUUUAACUUUAUGCAGAUUUUAAAGAAAUAAGCUGUCUGUGGAUAUGGUAUAUACUAGAAGUUUGUACUCAGGAAAUUACACAUUAAUCUCUUAUACUUGCAUAAAGUCAUACCUGUAUCAGUUUUGCUACUAAUGUCCUGCUAUGUGUUGUAGGAUAUUCUGUUUCAAUAUUCAUACAAAAAAAGUGUUCUGCUUCUUCUAUCAUUAUUGUACAAAGCAUAUUAUAACUUAAGAAUACACAUUUCCAGUCUAAUCAAUCAUUUUUUAAGAUAUCAGUGUAAUCAAGUUUGAUAUCUACUUUGUUGUAAUGCAAAGAUGCAUAACUGUAACAUUCAUAGUGCUUUUAUGCCUUAGUGAUUAGAAAAGUAGAAACUUUUGAUAUUAUAUAGAAUCUUCAAAUAAUGUUUGCUAUAAAGGGACAUAAUUUUUAGUGGACAGUAUACAAACAGAUCUGUCACUGGUGAAGUGGACUUUAAUAUUAAUACCCAUUAAUACUGUGAUGCUUCUUAUCAUACUAAUAGUUGAUUACCUUCUCUGAGGGGCUGAAAUAAUGAUGAUGCUAAUGUAUGAAAAUAAAUCACUAAGUGUGUACUCUGUGCCAUUAGUAAAAUGUCUUUAAAUGAUAAUAGAACAAGUAUUUAAAUAAUUGUGGAGUUCUUGCCUUUGUGACUGAAGCAAAUUGAGCUUGACUGGAAAAUACCUUAAGAUCAGUCAUCAUGUUACUGCAAGGAAUUGCAGGAAAAAGAACAUGUACUUGCUUGUAGUCUCUCAAGAUGUCCUAAAUGUUAAAGAUUGGACUUUUUUUUUUUUUUAAAUCAUUCUCACUUUGGCAUACUCCAGCUUUUUAUUCAUCAGACCUUUGUCAACAUUUUCAGGUUCCCUGACUGUAAGUGGAUGUUCUAUCUAACUAUUAACAUGUUCCUCUUUUUGAACAGCAAUUUCUUGCUUACUCUAGCUUAAUGCUAUUCUACAAAUAAUGGUACAAAAGUAAUUACUAGAUUAUUAAUUUAACAAAAUCUUCAUUUUUUAAUGUAAUUAAUUUCUUCAGUUUUCAGAAUAAAAGCAUAGAAUUGAUGUUCAAUUUUAACAUUUAAAAAAAACCUACAAAAAACCACCAGCAACCACCAACAAUAAAUUACAGGCCAAGCACUUCAUAAAUCUAACAUUUUAUUGUUAUCAUGUGGAGGUCAAAUAAAUUUAUAAAUCAGUAAAGCACUGUACUGAAGUUUGAUUUUUUUUUUUUAAUGCAUAAUUAUAUCUACAUAUGUGAUGGACUGCUGUUUAGGCACCCUGGUUGCGGGGAGAAUGUUCUACAGAUAAAUGUGUUCAGUGCUCCUUGUUGUGCUUAUCCAUGAAGCAUCAUGCUUAUGCAAACACAUCAAAGCCCUUAGUAAUACAGCAUCAUACAGCAUAGAAAAUUAGGAAUAGUAUUGUGAGCUACUGGUAUGUGAUAUGGUCCUUGACCAAAUAUUGAAAAGCAAAAGCUAAGUAGAACUGAGAUUUCUUUUUAUCUUUGAAAGCUGCUGUACAGUUGUAUUCUUUAUGCUUAUUUCAUGCCUUCAGCUCUAAAAUAGUUUUAUCCCUGUUAGCAUGAUUUUUUAUUUUUUUAUUUUUUUGUUUUUUUAUUUAUUUAUUUUUUCCCACUCAGUGAAUAGUAGGUAAGGAUACUUCAAAUCAAUGACCGGUAAAUAAAAUAUUUGUUCAGAGCAUGCCUAUGCUCUCUAUGAGAAUGCUUUAAUAUUUAGAGAAAUUUUAGUGAGAGUAUUCUCUCUUCUAAAUAUACUGGGGCUUAAUCUAGCACUGUCUUUCCAGUUGACAACAUGUGGUUAAUUAAAAUAUUCUGAUUUGACUUCUGAAAUUCAAUUUAUUAAAUGAAAAUAAGCAAAAUACUAACCACUGAAACGUUUCAUUUCAUAGAUCUAUUCAUAUUGUUAACCAAAAAACUGUAAAUGAAUUACAUAUGGAAGUAAGGGUUACAGCUGCAGUAGGAAAAAAAGAUAAUAAAAAGAUGUGGGUUUUCUUUGGGGAAAAAAUGUCACCCUUAAAAGACAUGUAUGCAUUUGUAUUUGAGAGGAAGAGGGAAUAUGUGAAUUUAAGAAAAAUUGUGAAGGGCAUAUCAUCACCUUGAUGUAACAACACAGGGCAGUAAAGAGGUAGACAGUCAUUUUCUUGCCCAGCCAAAAAUUAUUGAAGGAAUUAUUACAAGGAAAAAUAUAACUUUCUCUGUAUUUUUGAGUGUAAAAUCACUUAUUAUUAGUUUUUCUGAAGGCUUCUGUGUCCUGAUACAUGACAUCAAGUAAGCAAGAAGAUCAAACAAUAAUUAUUCAUUAUUUGUAUAGAUACUUGAUAAUAGGCUGUAUAUUCAUGUUUCAAGUAACUCCUGGAAAGCAAACAGAAUGCAUGCCUCAGAAAGAUAAGCAGCUUUCCUAUAUUCUAUAAUACCAAUAAUAAUUUCUAACAAAAAUAGUAAUAAAAAGGGUGAAAUUCCAUGGUUUGAAGUUUACAGAAUAAUAGCUGACUCAGGUCAGUCAGCUAAAAUUAAUAAUGUUUUCAUUUGGCUGCAUAAAGUCUAUUUCAUAUACUUAGCAAAGAGGAACAAAAGUCUAUUCUGAUGUGAAGUGACACUUGAGACAAAUAGAAGCAUGAAGUUAUUCCACUAGUGUUGUUGUAGGAUGGUCCAAAUAACUAUAUUUAUAUUUAUUUAUUUAUAUUUGUUUCUUCUGUACACCAAACAGCUUCUCAGGAAUAUUCUAACUGAAAUUCAAGAACUGACAAAAUAAAUGCAUAUCCAAAUACAUAGUUGAUUUCUAUAUAUGUAUUUCUAUUUACAGACUGUCUGCUUGAUAUUGGGAAAACUCAAUACAUGAAAAAUAUAUGAAAAUUAAAUCUUGCUGCACUGUACUCCAUAUACUCAAUAUGUUAAAUAUUUGAAGAGUAUAAUUGCAGAAUAUUUGUAAAAAACAAACAAACAAAAAAAGAAAAAGUGCUGCUAUAGUUAUUCAACAAAGAAAAAUUUCAAAUCAACAGGUGGUAAAGUCAUUACCAGCAAAGAAGAAAACAGAACUGUAACAUUUGAAAGACCUUGCAGAGGCACACAGCUCUUCCUUCAAGAAAUCCUUAAAAAAAACUCUUAAUGAAGACAAAUUUUAAAUGUACUUUCUUAACAUAAAGAAAUAAAUUCCUCUGCUUGUUUGGCUGGUUUUGCAAAUAUUACUUGUAGUUUAGUAAGACUGGUAUAUUUCUUAUAUAUGUCAUUACUUCCUGUAACAAAGAACACUUCUUUUGAACUACAGAACUGCUCAUUUGUUAUUGAAAAAACAUUAUAUUUUUAGUCAACAUUGGUUAAACACAUAGUGGUCAAUAAUGUUGAGCUGUGAAUCCAAAGGGUAUAUUUAGUUAUCUAUAUAUAGAUAUUAUGAAAUGCUUCAAUUUCAUUUUUAUUACCUUCCAAUCAAUUAAAGUUUUGGUGAAAAAAAAACUCUCCCUAGUCUUCCCUAGGAUUUGAAAAUUUUCAGGAACUCCUCUUCUUGGUGAAGAUGUGGACAUGAUGAAUGAAGAACCUCCUGUGUCCUGGCAGAAUGAAUGCCACACAGGAAUUUCAGCUCUACAUUUCCUGACUUGGGGUGACCUUUAAGGAGCUAUAGAAAGUAUUGGGGCAGACAGAACACUUUUCUUGAGAAAACUUUUCACACCAACACUUGAAUCAGCCUUGCCUUCUUUGACAAGAAAGUGGACUAUAGUAUCUUCUAUCAAGCUAACCUGAAUCUUGUGCUACACCUUGGCUUCAGUUUUCCCAGGAACUUUUUGCAUCUAACAUUAAUGAUGUCUGAACUAAAUGUCUUGACAACAGAGCACAACUUAGUUGACUGAAGACAGCAUCAAAGUUCUUGAAACAAGAUGACAUUUUGAAAAUGUUUUAUGGUGUUAAAAUUUGUUCUACUCCAGAAUGUAUGCUUGUGUCCAUCAGAUUGUGUCCUUAAAAAUGUUUUCAUUUGCUCUGCUUUAUUUUCUUGAAGUUCACUACAAAAAGUAGUACGUAAUUUAAUGUUGAUUUUAAUCCUAUAAUCUCCUUCAAAGGGCUGAUUUUGUUACUAGUAGUGAGAUUACUGUGUGUUAGGUCGUUUCAAAAUCUUCUGUUGGUAGAGAAAAACAAAGCUAUGCCAUCUUACUGAAAAUAUUUUCUCUUGAACCAAAUCAGAAUUCACAGUUCAAGUAGUACUACUUCCAGCCUGUUGUAGAACGGUGGGAGAAAAGCAAAUGACCACACCUGUCAUUGACAUAUGAUCAGUUAAUCUCAUUUAUUCCUUGGCUAUGUGUACAUUUAUGACACAGAUAAUUAGCUCAUACAUAUUGCAAAAGUGGAGCUCAUCAUUGGUUCCCAAUUACAUACCAUCCCCAAGUAUCUUUGCAGCUUGUUGUUAUCAUCCUGAAAGUUAGUCCCUUGCUGAGUUCACAAAACCAUGGCUAGUUUCUCACCAUCACAGGGCAUCCUGUUGUUCUUGCUGUCCUUGCAGGUGGUAUGGCUGCUUUUUUAGCUGCGCUGUGUUUAUGACCCUUCUCAGCUAACCAGCUGUAAAUAACACUCUCUACACCAGCCCUCUGCUUUUGAUUUGUUUUAUGACAGUAAGUAUACCCAGCAUGGGAUGAGUAAAAGAACAACAUAUUUUUGUGAUAAAAAUAUAGUUGGAAGGUUUUGUACCAUUAUUUUCUCAGCAUAUUUUCAAAGGUGCACUUCGGUGUAAAUUAUGUUGUUUGUUUUCAUAGGCAGAGCACUGCAAAAUAUUCCUGUGAUCGUUCUGAUGCAUAGGUUGUCCGUGAAGCAGUGCAGCAAUAGCCAUUGCACUGCUACAGAUGUGCCUCGCAUAUGCAUUGUGUGCACACAAUGCUUUUGGACUGCUGACAAAACUACCUCAGUUCUGUAGAAUGCCUCUUAAGUUACGGCUCUUCCAGAGGUCUGCAGCAGUUUUCUUGUGGUGCUAAGUUUGUUGAUUUUUGUAGAGACAGACAGUAAUCUGAAACAUUUUUACUGCAAACUGAGUUGUAAAUAAACUCUCCCCAAUAGUUGAAAGGGACAGCUUAGUUGUGCAAAGAAAUGUUGAUGACAUUCAUUUUCAAAUAAAUAAUUCUAUUUCUAAGCCCUCCUAGAAAUGUAAAAUGUGUUCUCUAAUUUAGAAUUCAUUACCAACAAGAAUUUUUGAGUAGAUGUCCUUCUAAAUAAUUCACAGAUAUAUUUUACACAAUUUGUCAUACAAUUAAUAGUAGUAAAAUUGUUUCUAUUCAGAGAAUCGCAUCUAAUUUUCUAGAAAGUAUAACUGUCAGUUACAAAAAGGAAGCUCUGUCCUAAAUUUUGAAUAACUGCAAUAAUUUUAACAUAAAUAGGAUGAUCUAGGAGAAUACUGUAAUGGAAAAUUACUUAUUUAUUUUCGACAUUUCUAAAUGUUAAUGUAUUUAUUAAUAUUUUAUUACCAAUAUAAAGGACAAAAUAGAUAAAUUAUAUGUAUAGUAAAUGGGACUAUAAAUUGUAGUGAAAGAAUAUUAUGUAGAUUAUUAGAUUGCAUGAACAACUAAGUCAUUAUCAGUAUGAGAUGUAACUGCUUACUACUUUUACAGUUGAGUGUAAAGUAAGAAGAAAACAAGAACAUGAAAUAAAUUGAAUAAAAUGAAAAUGGAAUACUAGUAGCAAAAUAACAGAAAUUUGUGUAUAAUGUGUAUAAUGUGAAGAAAGGACUAUCUGUCAGAUUACAAAGAACAAUUCCCAUGUAAACCUCAAUUAAGAAAAGAUUAAUCUGGAAAACACCCACAGCAUAAGAAAAAAAGAGUAAUAUACCACAUGUUUUACUUAAAUGUUAGUAUUGUUUUUCCUGAAACUAGAAAUCCUGAUUAAAAAAUCCUAUUAAAAAAUGGCCUGAUAAAAAAAUUAUUGGGUGUAACCUGAAAAUAAAACUAAACUUUUGCUGGACAGAUGUGGUGUUGAGCGGUCCGCAUGGGUUAUUCCCUCAUACAAAAGUCUUAUCCUACAAGUUUUAUUUGCGUGGUGUAGGAAUCCUCUUAUUUCAUCCCAAUGAGAAAAAGCUGAGGUGCUACCUUUGCACAAUACUGGUCCUACACUAUGGUUUGUAGAUAUGAAGAAGAUAACACAUUCUUGUAAGGACUCUACUACCAAAUCUGAAUUUCAUUUUAUUAUUGCUACCAUGACCACAUUGAUUGUGAAGGUGUUUCAAAGGUAGCGGUAUAUUUUUCUUUAUUAAUUAGACUAGAGAUGAAUUAUUUAAUGCAUUUACAUGAAAUGAAUUAUUUAAUGCAAUGUUGUGAAAACACAAAGUCUUGAGAAAGUAGAUCACAAAGAAAGAAGAAUUUAUGUGAACUCUUUAAGAAGACUAGAAACAGGGCACGUGUGAAUACAAAGUGAAUUGUGUCCACAUAAAAUGUGAACAUUGGCAGAUUGCUUUUUCUUCUUGCCAGUAAAAAGUCAUUCUCAAAGUAAUGAGUACUUUUAGGUAACUGGGUAAUGAUGUGUUUAUCCUCUGACUGUGACUGUCAUGAAUAUCACUCUGGAUUUGUACAUUCUUUGAUUUUUAUUUACAGAUUUAUACUUCUAUCUAUGUUUUUUAGGAAAGUAAUAAUAUUAUUAUUAAAAUUAAUUGCUAAAUAUUGUUGUGCUACUAAUUCAGAAGUUAAUGUGUAUUUCUAUAAGUGAAAUGCAUAUGAAGAGGUCUGAUAUUUUCUUUUUUUAAAAUUAUUUUAAUAAAUCAAAAGGAGGAUCCAGGGACUGUACAUGUUUUAUAUGUGUAUAUAUAUAUGUACAAAAAAGAUCAGGUUUUCCCAUAUGCAUGGGAUUGAUUAUAUUUCUCCAAAGCAAUUUAAAAUGCACUGAAUUAUACUUCCUUUAAGGUUCUAGAACAUUCAUAAUAGAAGUUGCUGUUUAUUUUCA